rnacentral:rRNA from 1 species
UAGGGAAUCUUCCACAAUAGACGCAAGUCUGAUGGAGCAACGCCGCGUGAGUGAAGAAGGUCUUCGGAUCGUAAAGCUCUGUUGUUGGUGAAGAAGGAUAGAGGCAGUAACUGGUCUUUAUUUGACGGUAAUCAACCAGAAAGUCACGGCUAACUACGUGCCAGCAGCCGCGGUAAUACGUAGGUGGCAAGCGUUGUCCGGAUUUAUUGGGCGUAAAGCGAGCGCAGGCGGAAUGAUAAGUCUGAUGUGAAAGCCCACGGCUCAACCGUGGAACUGCAUCGGAAACUGUCAUUCUUGAGUGCAGAAGAGGAGAGUGGAACUCCAUGUGUAGCGGUGGAAUGCGUAGAUAUAUGGAAGAACACCAGUGGCGAAGGCGGCUCUCUGGUCUGCAACUGACGCUGAGGCUCGAAAGCAUGGGUAGCGAACAGGAUUAGAUACCCUGGUAGUCCAUGCCGUAAACGAUGAGCGCUAGGUGUUGGGGACUUUCCGGUCCUCAGUGCCGCAGCAAACGCAUUAAGCGCUCCGCCUGGGGAGUACGACCGCAAGGUUGAAAC